rnacentral:rRNA from 1 species
AGCUCGUAGUCGAACUUCGGGCUCUGUCAGCCGGUCCGCCUUCUUGGUGUGUACUUGUUUGACGGAGCCUUACCUCCUGGUGAACGGCGAUGUCCUUUACUGGGUGUCGUCGCAAACCAGGACUUUUACUUUGAAAAAAUUAGAGUGUUCAAAGCAGGCCUUUGCCCGAAUACAUUAGCAUGGAAUAAUAAAAUAGGACGCGCGUUCCCAUUUUGUUGGUUUCUGAGAUCGCCGUAAUGAUUAAUAGGGAUAGUUGGGGGCAUUUGUAUUCCGUCGUCAGAGGUGAAAUUCUUGGAUUGCCGGAAGACAAACUACUGCGAAAGCAUUUGCCAAGGAUGUUUUCAUUGAUCAAGAACGAAGGAAGGGGGAUCGAAAACGAUUAGAUACCGUUGUAGUCUCUUCUGUAAACUAUGCCAAUUGGGGAUCGGUACAGGAUUUUUAAUGACUGUAUCGGCACCCGAAGAGAAAUCUUUAAAUGAGGUUCGGGGGGGAGUAUGGUCGCAAGGCUGAAACUUAAAGGAAUUGACGGAAGGGCACCACCAGGUGUGGAGCCUGCGGCUUAAUUUGACUCAACACGGGGAAACUCACCAGGUCCAGACACAAUAAGGAUUGACAGAUUGAUAGCUCUUUCUUGAUCUUGUGGUUGGUGGUGCAUGGCCGUUCUUAGUUGGUGGAGUGAUUUGUCUGGUUAAUUCCGAUAACGAACGAGACCUUAACCUGCUAAAUAGACCAGCCGGCUUUGGCUAGCUGCUGUCUUCUUAGAGGGACUAUCAGCGUUUAGCUGAUGGAAGUUUGAGGCAAUAACAGGUCUGUGAUGCCCUUAGAUGUUCUGGGCCGCACGCGCGCUACACUGACAGAGCCAGCGAGUCUACCACCUUUGCCGGAAGGCAUGGGUAAUCUUGUGAAACUCUGUCGUGAUGGGGAUAGAACAUUGCAAUUAUUGUUCUUCAACGAGGAAUACCUAGUAAGCGUGAUCAUCAGAUCGC